rnacentral:lncRNA from 1 species
AAGUCCCUGCAUCGGGGUCUCCUCCGAUUUCUCAGGUUCUACCUCGUUCUCCUGUGAGCCUAUAUGAUGCAUAUGCACAAAUAAGUGGAAGUGCAGGAUGAUCAUGAUAUGAUGCUUAAUGAGUAUGUGCAGAUCUACUCCUCGGUACAGAAGAGUCGUGAAGGAUGAAACAAGAAACUAUUACGACUAGGUAGUCAACAUCAUCCAAGAACAUGUAACCCAAACAAGUUAUCUAUUGCAUUCUCUUCUACAAGCUACUACUAAACCAGCAAGUUAUCAUAUUGCUUCAAAGAUACACCAAACAUAUUACAUUUUAUCCAUUUCAUGUAUAGCAAGAGUUUAUUUAUUUAUUUAUUUUUUUUUAUCAGGCUUACAACACUAGCAUAUACUUCUGCACUUAAUUAAAUUCUACAAAAAUUACAACAUGACACAGGUUAUCUAUAAAGUCUACUACCAAAUUUUCAUUUCAUUUAGGCAGAUAGCAUGGCCCACACAAAAAUCACAAUUUUAUUAAUAUAGUUAAGGGAAAAUACCCUACUAGUGUCAAAGUGUCAAAAAACAGAUUUCAUAUUUUUAUAGAUUACUUGUUAACAUAAGAAAGACUCACAAAAAUUUCUAGAAUAAGUGCA